GGCAGAAGGAACUUGAUUGUUUCAGAUGAGACUUUGGACCUGGACUUUUGAUUUAAUGCUGGGAUGAGUUAAGAUUUUGGGAGAGCUGCUGGAAGGUUCCAGCAGAGUACCUGAAGUAUGGCCAGUAAAAUGAUAUAUUGGGAAGCUACCCCUCCACCAAUCCAUUUGGAUGAAUAAUGGCUACAGCAACAGAAAGGCAAAGGAUACAUGGAGCUGUAUAAAGGGGAUUCUAAAUGUAGAAGAAAAUGGAAAGAAAAUGUAAGUUUUAAAGUCACUUUUACAAAAUAAGAGUACUCCUUCUUUAUUUGAAUU
rnacentral:lncRNA from 10 species